rnacentral:rRNA from 1 species
UACGGGGGGAGCAAGCGUUGUUCGGAUUUACUGGGCGUAAAGGGCGCGUAGGCGGCCAGCGCAAGUCAGUUGUGAAAUCUCCGGGCUUAACUCGGAACGGUCAACUGAUACUGUGCGACUAGAGUGCAGAAGGGGCAACUGGAAUUCUCGGUGUAGCGGUGAAAUGCGUAGAUAUUGAGAGGAACACCUGCGGCGAAGGCGGGUUGCUGGGCUGACACUGACGCUGAGGCGCGAAAGCUAGGGGAGCGAACGGG